AUGUCUAAGCAAAGAAGGCAGGGCGAGGAGGAUGAGGCCAACUACUACCACAACCGCAGCGGCAACAAGGAGAAGAGCCUCUAUCUGGUUCUAGACGACUGGCACAAGGGUUUCACCAUCCGCAAGAUCGAUGCCGACAGUCCCGGCCUCAGCGCCUCCCCUGUCCUCCGGCUAGUGUCACCUGAGCGUGGCCGUGCCAUGAAGUUCGCAGCCCUGGGGUGCUACAUCAUCGCCACGAGCAACAUACAUGCCGGAACCCUCUUCUACGACACUGACACCACCGGACUGGCUGUCGGCCCUCCCGUUCCAGACGCACUGCUUUGUGGCUCCAACACCUUCCUGACCUCCGGCGACGGUGACAUGCUGUUCGUGUUCGCCUUCCACUUCAUGGAGCGGCCUGACGAGAUGAUCUUCUCCUACGCGCUGCACCCGGACGGGCGCACCAUAUUCGUGUCCUCGUGGAGCAGGGCGGUCUGCGGCACGUACUCCGUCGACACCAGGAGCUGCAAGUGGAGGCGCCAUGGGGAGUGGAUGCUGCCUUUCAGAGGCCGAGGCUACUUCGACGCCGAGCUAGACGCAUGGGUCGGGCUGCACGAGGACGGCUACGUCUGCUCCUGCCAGGUUGCCUCCCGCAGCGGCGGCACCACGCAACAGCCGAAGUGGAAGAUGGCCGACGAGCGUAGGAUGUGGAUCCCGUGGCAUCAGCUGGAGUUUCGCAUGCGUCGGAUGUGA
rnacentral:rRNA from 1 species